rnacentral:rRNA from 1 species
CAGAGGUGCCAAGCGUUAGGCGGAAUCACUGGGCUUAAAGCGCGUGUAGGCGGGUCGUUAAGUGUCCGAGUGAAAUCCCACGGCUCAACCGUGGAACUGCCGGGCAUACUGGCGAUCUUGAGGCAUUCAGGGGCGAGCGGAACAAAUGGUGGAGCGGUGAAAUGCGUAGAUAUCAUUUGGAACGCCAAUGGUGAAAACAGCUCGCUGGGAAUGAUCUGACGCUGAGACGCGAAAGCCAGGGGAGCGAACGGGAUUAGAUACCCCGGUAGUCCUGGCCCUAAACGAUGUCCACUAGAUCGUGGCACCUCUGACGGUGUCAUGGUCGGAGCAAAAGUGUUAAGUGGACCGCCUGGGAAGUACGGUCGCAAGGCUA